UACGUAGGGUGCAAGCGUUGUCCGGAAUUAUUGGGCGUAAAGAGCUCGUAGGCGGUUUGUCGCGUCGGCUGUGAAAACCCGAGGCUCAACCUCGGGCCUGCAGUGGGUACGGGCAGACUAGAGUGCGGUAGGGGAGAUUGGAAUUCCGGGUGUAGCGGUGGAAUGCGUAGAGAUCCGGAAGGACACCGGUGGCGAAGGCGGGUCUCUGGGCCGAUACUGACGCUGAGGAGCGAAAGCGUGGGGAGCGAACAGG
rnacentral:rRNA from 1 species